rnacentral:lncRNA from 1 species
GAGGCUGGGGCUGGCAUCGGGGAUGAGGUGCGAGGGAGUGGAAAGGAACCAGGAACCCAAUCGCAACUCCCCUUGUGUCACCUCUCUCCAGCCUGGAGGAGCUGCUGACCACGCAGUGUGACCGCUUCUCCCAGGAGGAGAUCAAGAACAUGUGGGCGGCCUUCCCCCCCGACGUGGGCGGCAACGUCGACUACAAAAACAUCUGCUACGUCAUCACGCACGGCGACGCCAAGGACCAGGAGUAGGGGCACCCGCGGGCCUCCGCUGCCCGACGCUUCUGUUCGGCCCGACCUCCACCCCGGCUCCCAAUAAAAUUUAACUGAUCUUUGUUUCUUA